rnacentral:rRNA from 1 species
CCCGCGCCGUAUUAGCUAGUUGGUGGGGUAACGGCCUACCAAGGCGACGAUACGUAGCCGACCUGAGAGGGUGAUCGGCCACACUGGAACUGAGACACGGUCCAGACUCCUACGGGAGGCAGCAGUAGGGAAUCUUCCGCAAUGGGCGAAAGCCUGACGGAGCAACGCCGCGUGAGUGAUGAAGGUCUUCGGAUCGUAAAGCUCUGUUGUUAGGGAAGAACAAAUGUGUAAGUAACUGUGCACAUCUUGACGGUACCUAACCAGAAAGCCACGGCUAACUACGUGCCAGCAGCCGCGGUAAUACGUAGGUGGCAAGCGUUAUCCGGAAUUAUUGGGCGUAAAGCGCGCGUAGGCGGUUUUUUAAGUCUGAUGUGAAAGCCCACGGCUCAACCGUGGAGGGUCAUUGGAAACUGGAAAACUUGAGUGCAGAAGAGGAAAGUGGAAUUCCAUGUGUAGCGGUGAAAUGCGCAGAGAUAUGGAGGAACACCAGUGGCGAAGGCGGCUUUCUGGUCUGCAACUGACGCUGAUGUGCGAAAGCGUGGGGAUCAAACAGGAUUAGAUACCCUGGUAGUCCACGCCGUAAACGAUGAGUGCUAAGUGUUAGGGGGUUUCCGCCCCUUAGUGCUGCAGCUAACGCAUUAAGCACUCCGCCUGGGGAGUACGGUCGCAAGACUGAAACUCAAAGGAAUUGACGGGGACCCGCACAAGCGGUGGAGCAUGUGGUUUAAUUCGAAGCAACGCGAAGAACCUUACCAAAUCUUGACAUCCUUUGACCGCUCUAGAGAUAGAGUUUUCCUCUUCGGAGGACAAAGUGACAGGUGGUGCAUGGUUGUCGUCAGCUCGUGUCGUGAGAUGUUGGGUUAAGUCCCGCAACGAGCGCAACCCUUGAACUUAGUUGCCAUCAUUCAGUUGGGCACUCUAAGUUGACUGCCGGUGACAAACCGGAGGAAGGUGGGGAUGACGUCAAAUCAUCAUGCCCCUUAUGAUUUGGGCUACACACGUGCUACAAUGGACAAUACAAAGGGCAGCGAAACCGCGAGGUCAAGCAAAUCCCAUAAAGUUGUUCUCAGUUCGGAUUGUAGUCUGCAACUCGACUACAUGAAGCUGGAAUCGCUAGUAAUCGUAGAUCAGCAUGCUACGGUGAAUACGUUCCCGGGUCUUGUACACACCGCCCGUCACACCACGAGAGUUUGUAACACCCGAAGCCGGUGGAGUAACCAUUUUGGAGCUAGCCGUCGAAGGUGGGACAAAUGAUUGGGGUGAAGUCGUAACAAGGUAGCCGUAUCGGAAGGUGCGGCUGGAUCACCUCCUU